rnacentral:lncRNA from 12 species
CAGCAGCCCGGGGCCUCCCAGCCAGCAGCAGCCACAGCAUGAGGUGACCUAGGGCCCAGGUCCAGCGGGGCACGCGGGGCCAGAACGUGUGUGCGUGUGUCCUGGGUGUGGAGGCCUCUGCUCCUGGGCAGUUGAUGUCUGGAGAACACACUGAAGGUUUUCAUUUAUUCAUUCAUGAGACACAAGAGAGGCAGAAGCAGAGACACAGGCAGUGGGAGAAGCAGGGAGCGCUACGUGGGACUCCAGGAUCACGCCCCGGGCCAAAGGCAGGCGCCAAACCGCUGCGCCCCCCAGGGACCUCUAUCUUAUUUUUUUAAUUGAAGUUCGAUUUGACUUAAAAUCUUUUAAAGAAAAUUCUCUUUUCAAAAUUAAAUAUAAUUACCUCCCUUCUAAG